rnacentral:tRNA from 1 species
ACACAAAACAGAUUCGAACCUACGCUCCCAGAGGGAAUCUGAUUUCUAGUCGGACGCCUUAACCACUCGGCCACGACUGCU